GACGAACGCUGGCGGCGUGCUUAACACAUGCAAGUCGAACGGAAAGGCCCUGCUUUUGUGGGGUGCUCGAGUGGCGAACGGGUGAGUAACACGUGAGUAACCUGCCCUUGACUUUGGGAUAACUUCAGGAAACUGGGGCUAAUACCGGAUAGGAGCUCCUGCUGCAUGGUGGGGGUUGGAAAGUUUCGGCGGUUGGGGAUGGACUCGCGGCUUAUCAGCUUGUUGGUGGGGUAGUGGCUUACCAAGGCUUUGACGGGUAGCCGGCCUGAGAGGGUGACCGGCCACAUUGGGACUGAGAUACGGCCCAGACUCCUACGGGAGGCAGCAGUGGGGAAUAUUGCACAAUGGGCGGAAGCCUGAUGCAGCAACGCCGCGUGCGGGAUGACGGCCUUCGGGUUGUAAACCGCCUUCGCCUGUGACGAAGCGUGAGUGACGGUAAUGGGUAAAGAAGCACCCGCUAACUACGUG
rnacentral:rRNA from 1 species